rnacentral:lncRNA from 1 species
AACGUUUUAAGGCCUAUUGAGGCAAGUGAAAGAACGAAAAAAGGAAGCAAUAAAACACAGUAGUAGUGGUAAUAAUAGUUUAUAGUAUUGAUCGUAGUGAAAGUAAUCGAUAAUAUAUUAUGUAGUAAAAGUGCGUAUUAAAAUAAAAUGUAUCAAUAAAAAAAAAAAAAAAAAAAAAAAGGGAAACAACUUUUUUAUUUUGUUUAUUUAUUAUGCAGUAAAAAAAGAAAAAAAAAAAAGAAAAAACCAAGAUAUGUUAACUUUUCCGAUUUCUGUGCCUCACACUUAGCAAUAAUAAAAAUAAAAAAUAUAUAAACUUCUUUUUCCAAAUGUAAGAUUUUAUUUCAUUUUUUUAUAAAUGUUCGAAAAGUAUAAAAAAAAAGAAUGAUACAAAGGAAAUAUAAUUUGAAAUAUUGCUGUGACGAUAUUUGUAUUUUCCCAAGUAGAACUCUACUAAAUUAUGACGAUGAAAGCUUUAAAGAUAGUUUUGGGUUGACUGCUGUUUCAACAUACCAACUUAAAACAAACCAGAACACAAAUGUAGAAAAUGAAGAACAAAAAAAAAAAGGUAGAAUUUAUUUUUAUAGAUUAGCACAAAACGAAGAAAACGAUGAUAAUGGUUUCGAAGUCAAUCACAUAUUAAGUUAUGAAAAAAAUGUAAACAUUCACAGUGGAGUCCUAAAAUCAGAUUACUUGUUUUCAAACGAGCGUCUUUUAUUAGGUAGUGUGUGUACCAACGGAUUUCACUUAUAUGAUGUGAAGGAAAAUACGCAUCAUCAAAUUUGUUCUACACCAAAUGAUAAAAAUAAUUCAGGCUUAUGCUUUGCAGCAUUUGAUAAGAAACCAGAAAAAAUAUGUGUAACUUUUAGCAAUGGUGAUGUCUUUUUGCUUUCUGAUCAACAACUAGUUAAGUCUUGGCGAGCGCAUGAUUACCAUGUAUGGAGCUGUGAAUUUACUGAGGAUGAAAAUACCAUCAUAACAGGUUUCAUUAUAUUUUUAUUCAAACUUUUA